rnacentral:sRNA from 1 species
UGCCCAUUGCUCGACCGGUCGUGCAUUCCAAGGUCGUGUCAAGACUCAAGUUAAAAAAAAAAAAGCUUCCUUCCUCUUUUUUUUUUAAUUUCUCUUUUGUUUAGAACUCACCCCGAUCUGUAUUUUUCUUUUACGGGUUGUCCCCCGAAGAGGACCAAUUUGGGUUUUUUUUCACCUUUUUAUAUUUUUUAGCAUAUUAGAUUAGUGAAGUUGUUGAAACGGUAAAUAGAAUCUACUAGAUUAAUUGUCUUAAGACAGACCAGUAAUACAAGCUGUUCAUACUUACUCCC